CACCUCGUACAGUAAGUACAAGUUGCAAAUAAUUAUUGGAUCAUUAUAGUAUUUACGUACAAGUUGGUCAUUGAAAGCAUGAUUUACUGUAGUAGAAAGAAAGGCAUCAGCGUUUUCUUUGUAAUUCUGAUAUUUCAUUUUUCGCAUUAUAGUUGUUCUCUGAUUGUACAAUUGAUCUCGCGUCGCGGGUUCUAAUACGUUUAUUGUUUAUUAAAAGUGUUAUUAAAAGGUGAAUAAUUAAAUAAAAUAAUAGUGAAUAAAAACAAAGAAAACAUAAAUGUUGUAAAUGGAUUGCCCUGCACAAUGAAAAGAGCACUGCGUUUUUCCAAGAUGGCGGCUAUCUUACCACCGAGAAUUCCCCACGAAUAAGGUUUUCUACUGUAUGUGAUUAUAUGCUUUGUUUGGAAGUGUUUGCACGUAUUUAUGAACGCAUAAAUAUCCUUAUCAACACCAAAUUUUAAUGGAACUCUUAGAAAUGUGGCUUGGGGAUAUAAGUGCAGUGAUAAAUAUGUCGCUUUUGAAUCCAGCCGAAGUGCACAAAAAUUUUGACUGAUAUUAACCGACUCUGUUGUUCAGAUGGUAAAUAUAAUUGUAAACAAAGAAAUUUUAAAUAAAAAUUAAUAUUGUUAAUUAUAUAAAA